rnacentral:rRNA from 1 species
GACGAACGCUGGCGGCGUGCUUAACACAUGCAAGUCGAACGGACAGACAGAGAGCUUGCUCUCUUGAAGUUAGUGGCGAACGGGUGAGUAACGCGUAAUCAACCUGCCCUUCAGAGGGGGAUAACAACGGGAAACCGUUGCUAAUACCGCGUACGAUACAUGAACGGCAUCGUUUAUGAAUGAAAGGUGGCCUCUAUGUAUAAUCUAUCGCUGAAGGAGGGGAUUGCGUCUGAUUAGCUAGUUGGAGGGGUAACGGCACACCAAGGCAAUGAUCAGCAGCGGGUCUGAGAGGAUGAACGGCCACAUUGGGACUGAGACGCGGCCCAAACUCCUACGGGAGGCAGCAGUGGGGAAUCUUGCGCAAUGGGCGAAAGCCUGACGCAGCGACGCCGCGUGGAGGAUGAAGGUCUUCGGAUUGUAAACUCCUGUUAAGUGGGAAGAAAUAGCCAUCCUUAAUACGGGUGGCGAAUGACGGUACCAUUAGAGAAAGCACCGGCUAAUCUCGUGCCAGCCGCCGCCGUAA